UCAAGCGUCUUAAAGGGCAUUUGGUGAAUGCCUUGGCGUUGAGAGGCGAUGAAGGACGUGACACGCUGCGAUAAGCCAUGGGGAGCUGCGAGUAAGCUUUGAUCCGUGGAUUUCUGAAUGGGGAAACCCGGCCAUUUAGGUCAUCCCGCAAGGGAAGCAAACCUGGGGAACUGAAACAUCUAAGUACCCAGAGGAAAGGACAUCAACCGAGACUCCGUUAGUAGUGACGAGCGAACGCGGACCAGGCCAGUGGCUUGAUAGAAGAUAACCAGAAGCGUCUGGAAAGGCGCGCCAUAGUGGGUGAUAGCCCCGUAUGGGUAAUGCUUUCUUCAAGUCCUUGAGUAGGGCGGGACACGUGAAAUCCUGUCUGAACAUGGGGGGACCACCCUCCAAGCCUAAGUACUCCUCAACGACCGAUAGCGAACCAGUACCGUGAGGGAAAGGUGAAAAGCACCCCGAUGAGGGGAGUGAAAUAGACCUGAAACCGAAUGCCUACAAUCAGUCGGAGCCACAUUAAGUGGUGACGGCGUACCUUUUGUAUAAUGGGUCAGCGAGUUACUUUGACGAGCAAGCCUAAGCCGUUAGGCGUAAGCGAAGCGAAAGCGAGUCUGAAUAGGGCGUUUAGUUCGUUUGAGUAGACCCGAAACCGGGUGAUCUAGCCAUGGGCAGGUUGAAGGUACGGUAACACGUACUGAAGGACCGAACCCACGUCUGUUGAAAAAGACGGGGAUGACCUGUGGCUAGGGGUGAAAGGCCAAUCAAACCCGGAGAUAGCUGGUUCUCUGCGAAAACUAUUUAGGUAGUGCGUCGUGUAUUACCGUCGGGGGUAGAGCACUGGAUGGGCUAGGGGGGCGCGAGCCUUACCAAACCUAACCAAACUCCGAAUACCGGCGAGUACAGCACGGCAGACAGACUAUGGGUGCUAAGGUCCAUAGUCGAGAGGGAAACAGCCCAGACCUCCAGCUAAGGUCCCUAAAUUGUGGCUAAGUGGGAAAGGAUGUGGGAAGGCCAAGACAGCCAGGAGGUUGGCUUAGAAGCAGCCAUCCUUUAAAGAAAGCGUAACAGCUCACUGGUCUAGACAAGCCGGCCUGCGCCGAAGAUGUAACGGGGCUAAAGCCACAUACCGAAGCUGAGGACGUGAUUUAUCACGUGGUAGCAGAGCGUUCUGUAGGCCUGCGAAGCGUAAUCGUGAGAUUGCGUGGAGGUAUCAGAAGUGAGAAUGCUGACAUGAGUAGCGAUAAAGAGUGUGAGAAACACUCUCGCCGUAAGCCCAAGGGUUCCUGCGCAAGGCUAAUCCGCGCAGGGUGAGUCGGCCCCUAAGACGAGGGCGAAAGCCGUAGUCGAUGGGAAUCAGGUUAAUAUUCCUGAACCUGUUGGUAGUGACGGAUGACGUAAGUUGUACAUGCUUAACGGAUUGUGUGUGCAGCGAAGUUGUCCCAGGAAAUAGCUCCAACAUUAAGACCGUACCCCAAACCGACACAGGUGGACUGGUAGAGCAUACCAAGGCGCUUGAGAGAACGAUGUUGAAGGAACUCGGCAAAUUGCCCCCGUAACUUCGGGAGAAGGGGGACCUCCAUUUAGGCAACUAGGUGGAGGUGGCACAGACCAGGGGGUGGCGACUGUUUAUUAAAAACACAGGGCUCUGCGAAGUAGUUAAUACGACGUAUAGGGUCUGACGCCUGCCCGGUGCCGGAAGGUUAAGAGGAGGUGUGAGAGCUCCGAAUUGAAGCCCCGGUAAACGGCGGCCGUAACUAUAACGGUCCUAAGGUAGCGAAAUUCCUUGUCGGGUAAGUUCCG
rnacentral:rRNA from 1 species